UACGAAGGGGGCUAGCGUUGCUCGGAAUCACUGGGCGUAAAGGGUGCGUAGGCGGGUCUUUAAGUCAGGGGUGAAAUCCUGGAGCUCAACUCCAGAACUGCCUUUGAUACUGAAGAUCUUGAGUUCGGGAGAGGUGAGUGGAACUGCGAGUGUAGAGGUGAAAUUCGUAGAUAUUCGCAAGAACACCAGUGGCGAAGGCGGCUCACUGGCCCGGAACUGACGCUGAGGUGCGAAAGCGAUGGGGAGCAAACAGGGAUUAAGAAACC
rnacentral:rRNA from 1 species